UUAAGCGACUAAGCGUACACGGUGGAUGCCCUGGCAGUCAGAGGCGAUGAAGGACGUGCUAAUCUGCGAAAAGCGCCGGCGAGGUGAUAUGAACCUUUGACCCGGCGAUGUCCGAAUGGGGAAACCCAGUGCAAUCCGUUGCACUAUCGUUAACUGAAUACAUAGGUUAACGAGGCGAACCGGGGGAACUGAAACAUCUAAGUACCCCGAGGAAAAGAAAUCAACCGAGAUUCCCCCAGUAGCGGCGAGCGAACGGGGAGCAGCCCGGAGUCUGAAUCAGCUUGUGUGUUAGUGGAACGGUCUGGAAAGUCCGACGGUACAGGGUGAUAGUCCCGUACACGAAAGCACACAUGCUGUGAACUCGAAGAGUAGGGCGGGACACGUGGUAUCCUGUCUGAAUAUGGGGGACCAUCCUCAAGGCUAAAUACUCCUGACUGACCGAUAGUGAACCAGUACCGUGAGGGAAAGGCGAAAAGAACCCCGGCGAGGGGUGAAAAGAACCUGAAACCGUGUACGUACAAGCAGUGGGAGCCUCUUUAUGGGGUGACUGCGUACCUUUGUAUAAUGGGUCAGCGACUUAUAUUCUGUAGCAAGGUUAACCGUAUAGGGGAGCCGAAGGGAAACCGAGUCUUAACUGGGCGUUAAGUUGCAGGGUAUAGACCCGAAACCCGGUGAUCUAGCCAUGGGCAGGUUGAAGGUUGGGUAACACUAACUGGAGGACCGAACCGACUAAUGUUGAAAAAUUAGCGGAUGACCUGUGGCUGGGGGUGAAAGGCCAAUCAAACCGGGAGAUAGCUGGUUCUCCCCGAAAGCUAUUUAGGUAGCGCCUCGUGAACUCAUCUUCGGGGGUAGAGCACUGUUUCGGCUAGGGGGCCAUCCCGGCUUACCAACCCGAUGCAAACUACGAAUACCGAAGAAUGUUAUCACGGGAGACACGGCGGGUGCUAACGUCCGUCGUGAAGAGGGAACAACCCAGACCGCCAGCUAAGGUCCCAAAGUCAUGGUUAAGUGGGAAACGAUGUGGGAAGGCACAGACAGCCGGGAUGUUGGCUUAGAAGCAGCCAUCAUUUAAAGCGUAAUAGCUCACUGGUCGAGUCGGCCUGCGCGGAAGAUGUAACGGGCUAAACCAUGCACCGAAGCUGCGGCAGCGACGCUUAUGCGUUGUUGGGUAGGGGAGCGUUCUGUAAGCCGUUGAAGGUGUCCUGUGAGGGGUGCUGGAGGUAUCAGAAGUGCGAAUGCUGACAUAAGUAACGAUAAAGCGGGUGAAAAGCCCGCUCGCCGGAAGACCAAGGGUUCCUGUCCAACGUUAAUCGGGGCAGGGUGAGUCGACCCCUAAGGCGAGGCCGAAAGGCGUAGUCGAUGGGAAACAGGUUAAUAUUCCUGUACUUGGUGUUACUGCGAAGGGGGGACGGAGAAGGCUAUGUCAGCCGGGCGACGGUUGUCCCGGUUUAAGCAUGUAGGCGGAGGUUCCAGGUAAAUCCGGUACCUUAUUAACGCUGAGGUGUGAUGACGAGGCACUACGGUGCUGAAGUGAUAAAUGCCCUGCUUCGGGGAAAGCCUCUAAGCAUCAGGUAACACGAAAUCGUACCCCAAACCGACACAGGUGGUCAGGUAGAGAAUACCAAGGCGCUUGAGAGAACUCGGGUGAAGGAACUAGGCAAAAUGGUGCCGUAACUUCGGGAGAAGGCACGCUGAUGUGUAGGUGAAGUCCCUGCGGACGGAGCUGAAAUCAGUCGAAGAUACCAGCUGGCUGCAACUGUUUAUUAAAAACACAGCACUGUGCAAACACGAAAGUGGACGUAUACGGUGUGACGCCUGCCCGGUGCCGGAAGGUUAAUUGAUGGGGUUAGCGGCAACGCGAAGCUCUUGAUCGAAGCCCCGGUAAACGGCGGCCGUAACUAUAACGGUCCUAAGGUAGCGAAAUUCCUUGUCGGGUAAGUUCCGACCUGCACGAAUGGCGUAAUGAUGGCCAGGCUGUCUCCACCCGAGACUCAGUGAAAUUGAACUCGCUGUGAAGAUGCAGUGUACCCGCGGCAAGACGGAAAGACCCCGUGAACCUUUACUAUAGCUUGACACUGAACACUGGUCCUUGAUGUGUAGGAUAGGUGGGAGGCUUUGAAGCGUGGACGCCAGUCUGCGUGGAGCCAACCUUGAAAUACCACCCUUUAAUGGCUGGUGUUCUAACGUAGACCCGUAAUCCGGGUUGCGGACAGUGUCUGGUGGGUAGUUUGACUGGGGCGGUCUCCUCCCAAAGAGUAACGGAGGAGCACGAAGGUUGGCUAAUCCUGGUCGGACAUCAGGAGGUUAGUGCAAUGGCAUAAGCCAGCUUGACUGCGAGCGUGACGGCGCGAGCAGGUGCGAAAGCAGGUCAUAGUGAUCCGGUGGUUCUGAAUGGAAGGGCCAUCGCUCAACGGAUAAAAGGUACUCCGGGGAUAACAGGCUGAUACCGCCCAAGAGUUCAUAUCGACGGCGGUGUUUGGCACCUCGAUGUCGGCUCAUCACAUCCUGGGGCUGAAGUAGGUCCCAAGGGUAUGGCUGUUCGCCAUUUAAAGUGGUACGCGAGCUGGGUUUAGAACGUCGUGAGACAGUUCGGUCCCUAUCUGCCGUGGGCGCUGGAGAAUUGAGGGGGGCUGCUCCUAGUACGAGAGGACCGGAGUGGACGCAUCACUGGUGUUCGGGUUGUCAUGCCAAUGGCACUGCCCGGUAGCUAAAUGCGGAAGAGAUAAGUGCUGAAAGCAUCUAAGCACGAAACUUGCCCCGAGAUGAGUUCUCCCUGAGACCUUGAGUCUCCUGAAGGAACGUUGAAGACGACGACGUUGAUAGGUCGGGUGUGUAAGCGCAGCGAUGCGUUGAGCUAACCGAUACUAAUGAACCGUGAGGCUUAACCU
rnacentral:rRNA from 1 species